rnacentral:rRNA from 1 species
AAAGAUGAAAAGCACUUUGGAAGAGAGUUAAACAGUACGUGAAAUUGCUGAAAGGGAAACGCUUGAAGUCAGUCGCGUCUGCCGGAACUCAGCCUUCCUUUUGGUUGGUGCACUUUCCGGUAGACGGGCCAGCAUCGAUUUCGACCGUCGGAAAAGGGCUGGGGAAAUGUGGCACCUUUCGGGGUGUGUUAUAGUCCUCAGUCGCAUACGUCGGUUGGGAUCGAGGAUCGCAGCGCGCCGCAA